UACGUAGGGUGCGAGCGUUAAUCGGAAUUACUGGGCGUAAAGCGUGCGCAGGCGGUUCGUUGUGUCGGUGGUGAAAGCCCCGGGCUCAACCUGGGAAUGGCCAUGGAAACUGGCGAACUGGAGUGUGGCAGAGGGGGGUGGAAUUCCGCGUGUAGCAGUGAAAUGCGUAGAGAUGCGGAGGAACGCCGAUGGCGAAGGCAGCCCCCUGGGCUAGCACUGACGCUCAGGCACGAAAGCGUGGGGAGCAAACAGG
rnacentral:rRNA from 1 species